rnacentral:lncRNA from 1 species
UAGGAGGAAUAUCCAGCUGUCACUCUAUGGUGCCACCGUCAUGCAUGCUCAUAACAUUUCUUUUUCUUUUCCAGGUUCUCUUUAUGCUUGACAUGGGUCCCAGGUUUUUUAGGCAGAGAAAAGUGAAGCAAAAAGGCUCCAGUCGAUGGUGAUUGCUCUCCAAAGAGUCAAUGCAUGGGAAUAAUUCAUCCCACGAUUGUCU